GGCAGGCAGGCAGGUAUGCAGCUGCACAUCGACUUCAGAGUUCAGAUUCAGCCCCUCAUUUCACUAAGUACCACUGGAUCGGUUGGAUUUGGAGGGAACCAUUUAGCUGCUGUCAACCACACAACAGGUUUUUGUCCUCCUUUUUAAUCUAACCAUUCAUUCAAUAUUUUUUUGUUCAACAGAUAAAAGGAACCACCUUGCUUUUUUCCUUCACGCCUCAUCUCCUUUCACCUUUCCAACUUGUUUUUCCUACUUUCUUUUACGCAUGAAAAUUAUGAAAACCAUGCUUUUUUUCUUCUUUCCCUUUCACUCAUUUUUG
rnacentral:lncRNA from 1 species